rnacentral:rRNA from 1 species
UUGAACGCUGGCGGCAGGCCUAACACAUGCAAGUCGAGCGGUAGAGAGGUGCUUGCACCUCUUGAGAGCGGCGGACGGGUGAGUAAUACCUAGGAAUCUGCCUGGUAGUGGGGGAUAACGUUCGGAAACGGACGCUAAUACCGCAUACGUCCUACGGGAGAAAGCAGGGGACCUUCGGGCCUUGCGCUAUCAGAUGAGCCUAGGUCGGAUUAGCUAGUUGGUGAGGUAAUGGCUCACCAAGGCUACGAUCCGUAACUGGUCUGAGAGGAUGAUCAGUCACACUGGAACUGAGACACGGUCCAGACUCCUACGGGAGGCAGCAGUGGGGAAUAUUGGACAAUGGGCGAAAGCCUGAUCCAGCCAUGCCGCGUGUGUGAAGAAGGUCUUCGGAUUGUAAAGCACUUUAAGUUGGGAGGAAGGGCAUUAACCUAAUACGUUAGUGUUUUGACGUUACCGACAGAAUAAGCACCGGCUAACUCUGUGCCAGCAGCCGCGGUAAUACAGAGGGUGCAAGCGUUAAUCGGAAUUACUGGGCGUAAAGCGCGCGUAGGUGGUUCGUUAAGUUGGAUGUGAAAUCCCCGGGCUCAACCUGGGAACUGCAUUCAAAACUGACGAGCUAGAGUAUGGUAGAGGGUGGUGGAAUUUCCUGUGUAGCGGUGAAAUGCGUAGAUAUAGGAAGGAACACCAGUGGCGAAGGCGACCACCUGGACUGAUACUGACACUGAGGUGCGAAAGCGUGGGGAGCAAACAGGAUUAGAUACCCUGGUAGUCCACGCCGUAAACGAUGUCAACAGAGCCGUUGGGAGCCUUGAGCUCUUAGUGGCGCAGCUAUACGCACGAAGUGACCGCUUGGGACGCGCCAUUGAUAA